rnacentral:rRNA from 1 species
GUGGGGAAUCUUCCGCAAUGGACGAAAGUCUGACGGAGCGACGCCGCGUGAGUGAAGAAGGCCUUCGGGUCGUAAAGCUCUGUCAUCAGGGACGAACGGCCGGUGGAGUGGAAAGCCACCGGAUUGACGGUACCUGAGAAGGAAGCCACGGCUAACUACGUGCCAGCAGCCGCGGUAAUACGUAGGUGGCAAGCGUUGUCCGGAAUUAUUGGGCGUAAAGCGCGCGCAGGUGGGAUCUUAAGUCCAUUUUUAAAGUUCGGAGCUCAACUCCGUGAUGUGAUGGAAACUGGGAUUCUUGAGUACCGGAGAGGAAAGCGGAAUUCCCCGUGUAGCGGUGAAAUGCGUAGAUAUGGGGAGGAACACCAGUGGCGAAGGCGGCUUUCUGGACGGUGUCUGACACUGAGGCGCGAAAGCCAGGGGAGCGAACGGGAUUAGAAACCCUGGUAGUCC